AUUGAACGCUGGCGGCAGGCUUAACACAUGCAAGUCGAGCGGAGUGAUGGUGCUUGCACUAUCACUUAGCGGCGGACGGGUGAGUAAUGCUUAGGAAUCUGCCAUUUAGUGGGGGACAACAUUCCGAAAGGAAUGCUAAUACCGCAUAUGUCCUACGGGAGAAAGCAGGGGAUCUUCGGACCUUGCGCUAAAUGAUGAGCCUAAGUCGGAUUAGCUAGUUGGUGGGGUAAAGGCCUACCAAGGCGACGAUCUGUAGCGGGUCUGAGAGGAUGAUCUGCCACACUGGGACUGAGACACGGCCCAGACUCCUACGGGAGGCAGCAGUGGGGAAUAUUGGACAAUGGGCGGAAGCCUGAUCCAGCCAUGCCGCGUGUGUGAAGAAGGCCUUUUGGUUGUAAAGCACUUUAAGCGAGGAGGAGGCUACUAGUACUAAUACUACUGGAUAGUGGACGUUACUCGCAGAAUAAGCACCGGCUAACUCUGUGCCAGCCGCCGCAGUAACAC
rnacentral:rRNA from 1 species